rnacentral:misc_RNA from 1 species
GAUGAAGAACGUAGCGAAAUGCGAUAAGUAAUGUGAAUUGCAGAAUUCAGUGAAUCAUCGAAUCUUUGAACGCACAUUGCGCCCGCUAGUAUUCUGGCGGGCAUGCCUGUUCGAGCGUCAUUUCAACCCUCAGGCCCCCAGUGCCUGGCGUUGGGGAUCGGCCGCUGGCGUCCUUCGGGGCGCCUGGCCGGCCCCGAAAUCUAGUGGCGGUCUCGCUGUAGUCCUCCUCUGCGUAGUAGCACAACCUCGCAGUUAGAACUCGGCGGUGGCCAUGCCGUUAAACACCCCACUUCUGAAAGUUGACCUCGGAUCAGGUAGGAAUACCCGCUGAACUUAAGCAUAUCAAUAAGCGGAGGA